GGAAAGUUGUCUGAGUGGUCGAAAGAGCCGCACUCGAAAUGCGGUGUACACCUAAAGUGUACCGGGGGUUCGAAUCCCUCACUUUCCG
rnacentral:tRNA from 1 species